GAUGAACGCUGGCGGCGUGCCUAAUACAUGCAAGUCGAGCGAACGGACGAGAAGCUUGCUUUUCUGAUGUUAGCGGCGGACGGGUGAGUAACACGUGGAUAACCUACCUAUAAGACUGGGAUAACUUCGGGAAACCGGAGCUAAUACCGGAUAAUAUUUUGAACCGCAUGGUUCAAAAGUGAAAGACGGUCUUGCUGUCACUUAUAGAUGGAUCCGCGCUGCAUUAGCUAGUUGGUAAGGUAACGGCUUACCAAGGCAACGAUGCAUAGCCGACCUGAGAGGGUGAUCGGACACACUGGAACUGAGACACGGUCCAGACUCCUACGGGAGGCAGCAGUAGGGAAUCUUCCGCAAUGGGCGAAAGCCUGACGGAGCAAAGCCGCGUGAGUGAUGAAGGUCUUCGGAUCGUAAAACUCUGUUAUUAGGGAAGAACAUAUGUGUAAGUAACUGUGCACAUCUUGACGGUACCUAAUCAGAAAGCCACGGCUAACUACGUG
rnacentral:rRNA from 1 species